ensembl:lncRNA
GUCUCUGCCAUCCUUAUCCCUGCCCUUUCUGUGGCUUUGGAGAAAGUGCAUUUCCUUCCAUGUCUGCGGUGUGAUCUAUACUCAACUUCCAACGAAACAAAGACUGUCACAUCUGACCUCCGGAGCUCUUUCAGUUCCUCUUUUCCAGAUUCUAAUUAACUUAAAGGAGUGGAGACUAAAGAAAAAAUUCAAUGUGGUCUUAAGGAAAGCUAAGACACAAACUUGUAUUUGAGCACUGCUUCUAUGUACACAGACCAUGAUUUUGUGAGUUACUUGAAUUUUUUGAGGUUCCUUUUAAUCCUCUACUAUUGAAUGAAUAGUGAACUCCAAGCAUUACACUGUACCUGAUGCUCCUGGUUGCACACUAAGGGCUGAAUAGAAGAAGAAUUCUAUUGGCAAUGGAGAGAAGCUGGAAGGGCUUGCACUAAGGAAGAAUUCACAGCUCUCACUAGCAAGAAGUCCAGGAUGAAAAACUUAGAAAUUAUCCCUGUUCUACCUAAAAAGCAGACAUGAGAAUGCUCAAAGCAUCAGCACUAUAGCAGAACUCACCAUAGGAGUUUCUGCUGCCGGAAACAUAUCUAUGUUAUCUGACCUAGACAGACUGAUCUUGUCGUGAGAGAGUGAGGAGAACUAGCAGAUGAAAUGACCAAAGUAUCCCACUCAUCCCCAGAGAACUGUGACUUCAGGAAAUGACUGGAAACCAAAGGUGAAUCAGAAGAAAAGCUAUAACUCAUACUGGCAAAUGAUUUAGAUAUCUGACAGAAGACAUAGAUGGAAGGACAAUGUACCACAGCCACCAAAACCAAGGAGGGUAAGGCACUGGGAGUCAGGAAGGUCAACUGAGAUGCAAAACGAGUGGAGAAGGCAUAGAGGGAGCUUCCCUUGGGUGGUCUAACCAGGACGAAGACCUCAUUAGGCACUCCCUGAUACAGGUAACAGCUCAUGGAUCUGACUCACAGACAUAGGAAUGGUAGUGCAGGGCAUAAAGUCAAAGAGAAAGGCUUUAUUUUGUAAUGUGUUAAUGUUCAUAAUAUCAGAGAAUUAGAUGGGCUGUUCAUAGAAGCAACUAGAAAGCACCCUUAAAUACAUCCUCUUGUCUCAGUAGGGAAUUAGUCAUCUAUCUGCUUCCUCACGGCAAUAUUUAUGACUCUUCUUACUAUUCAACCUUUGCUGGAAUUACAAAGCCAGACACACUCCAGACCCUACCAAGAUUAUAGUUAAAUGAAGUAUCCUGGGAGUGACACUUGUGCUGCUAAAUACCUGGGGACGUGACCAAAGGGGCACAGGCUCUUGAGUAUUUAUUUGUUUAUUUAUCUAAUUUAUUUAUUUAAUAUUAAG